rfam:Vicugna pacos cont1.414932, whole genome shotgun sequence.
CCCUCAAGAUGGCCGCACCUGUCAGCUGCUUGGAACGUCCUUCAAGGCUAUGCUGAACCUUAUGGAUUUACAGUGAUACCCGGCCGCCUGGGAA